GGGGNAACGGCCCACCGGGGUUUCGANGGGUAGCCGGCCUGAGAGGGGGGCGGGCCACAUUGGGAUUGAGAUACGGCCCANACUCCUACGGGAGGAAGCAGUGGGGAAUAUUGCNCAANGGGGGCAAGCCUGAUGCAGCGACGCCGGGNGAGGGAUGGAGGCCUUCGGGUUGUAAACCUCUUUUAUCGGGGAGAAAGGGAGAGUGAGUUUACCCGUUGAAUAAGCACCGGUUAAUUACGUGCCAGCAGCCGNGGUAAUACGUAGGGUGCAAGCGUUAUCCGGAAUUAUUGGGCGUAAAGGGCUCGUAGGCGGUUCGUCGCGUCCGGUGUGAAAGUCCAUCGCUUAACGGUGGAUCCGCGCCGGGUACGGGCGGGCUUGAGUGCGGUAGGGGAGACUGGAAUUCCCGGUGUAACGGUGGAAUGUGUAGAUAUCGGGAAGAACACCAAUGGCGAAGGCAGGUCUCUGGGCCGUUACUGACGCUGAGGAGCGAAAGCGUGGGGAGCGAACAGGAUUAGAUACCCUGGUAGUCCACGCCGUAAACGGUGGAUGCUGGAUGUGGGGCCCGUUCCACGGGUUCCGUGUCGGAGCUAACGCGUUAAGCAUCCGGCCUGGGGAGUACGGCCGCAAGGCUAAAACUCAAAGAAAUUGACGGGGGCCCGCACAAGCGGCGGAGCAUGCGGAUUAAUUGGAUGCAACGCGAAGAACCUUACCUGGGCUUGACAUGUUCCCGACGGUCGUAGAGAUACGGCUUCCCUUCGGGGCGGGUUCACAGGUGGUGCAUGGUCGUCGUCAGCUCGUGUCGUGAGAUGUUGGGUUAAGUCCCGCAACGAGCGCAACCCUCGCCCCGUGUUGCCAGCGGAUUAUGCCGGGAACUCACGGGGGACCGCCGGGGUUAACUCGGAGGAAGGUGGGGAUGACGUCAGAUCAUCAUGCCCCUUACGUCCAGGGCUUCACGCAUGCUACAAUGGCCGGUACAACGGGAUGCGACGCGGCGACGCGGAGCGGAUCCCUGAAAACCGGUCUCAGUUCGGAUCGCAGUCUGCAACUCGACUGCGUGANNGCGGANUCNCUAGUAAUCGCGAAUCAGCAACGUCGC
rnacentral:rRNA from 1 species